rnacentral:rRNA from 1 species
GAUGAACGCUGGCGGCGUGCUUAACACAUGCAAGUCGAACGGUGAAGGCGGAGCUUGCUCUGCUGGAUCAGUGGCGAACGGGUGAGUAACACGUGAGCAAUCUGCCCCUGACUCUGGGAUAAGCGCUGGAAACGGCGUCUAAUACUGGAUACGAGCUGCGAAGGCAUCUUCAGCAGCUGGAAAGAACUUCGGUCAGGGAUGAGCUCGCGGCCUAUCAGCUUGUUGGUGAGGUAACGGCUCACCAAGGCGUCGACGGGUAGCCGGCCUGAGAGGGUGACCGGCCACACUGGGACUGAGACACGGCCCAGACUCCUACGGGAGGCAGCAGUGGGGAAUAUUGCACAAUGGGCGAAAGCCGGAUGCAGCAACGCCGCGUGAGGGACGACGGCCUUCGGGUUGUAAACCUCUUUUAGCAGGGAAGAAGCGAAAGUGGCGGUACCUGCAGAAAAAGCGCCGGCUAACUAGGUG